rnacentral:lncRNA from 1 species
AGGCUUGCAUAGAGAGUUGCCCCAGCAGCCAGGUUAGUUAAGUCCCAGGUCAAAGCCUUCUCAAUCCUUGUCUGGGUAACUUCUUUCCCAUGGUCUCCGCUUAGGGUAUCACGUUUCAAGGUAAGACCGAAAUGCAGACUGUGUUGAAGUAACAAUGUUUAUUACAGCAACAGGGGCAGGCAAACGACUGGUCAAGGCAGGCAGGGAUCGAUAAUCUAGAGUACUGGGGCAAAGGUACAGGACGGCAGGCAGGCUCAGGGUCAGGUCAGGCAGAGGUCGGUAAUCCAGAGUAGUGGGGCAAAGGUACAGGACGGCAGGCAGGCUCAGGGUCAGGUCAGGCAGAGGUCGGUAAUCCAGAGUAGUGGGGCAAAGGUACAGGACGGCAGGCAGGCUCAGGGUCAGGUCAGGCAGAGGUCGGUAAUCCAGAGUAGUGGGGCAAAGGUACAGGACGGCAGGCAGGCUCAGGGUCAGGUCAGGCAGAGGUCGGUAAUCCAGAGUAGUGGGGCAAAGGUACAGGACGGCAGGCAGGCUCAGGGCGAGCAGAAAAGGUAAAUACCGGGAAACAAAUAGAAAACAGGAACAAUUGAGAUACAAGAACAGAGGGGAAAAUGCUGGUAGGCUUGACAAAACAAAACGAACUGGCAACAGGCAAACAGAGAACACAGGUAUAAAUACAAAGGGGAUGAUGGGGAAGAUGGGCGACACCUGGAGGGGGGUGGAGACAAGCACAAAGACAGGUGAAACAGAUCAGGGCGUAACAUAGGGUUAGGAACCCUCAGUCACUCCCUAGUGGGAAGGGAUUGUGUGUAUGAAGUGACAUCAUACUGGAUGCUGUCUUACUAACAAUCACGUUGACUUGAGUCUGACCUUGAGUGUAUCCAGGAGGAGAUAGUUGAUGCUGUCAUAUAACCUGCUCUUCACCUGCAUAAAGGACACCAGGACACUGGAGAAGCCAAAAGGUCAAUCACUGAGCCUUCCCUGGUAUGUGGGCUCCGUAAGCAAAUCAAUCAAGAUGAUGGAUAAAAUACUUCAAGAUGAAAUAUGUGGUGUCCACGGGGGCUCACGUAUGCCUUUUCAGUGGGAAAUGUCAUAUCAAUGUGUACCAGGAAUUACAUAGUACUAAAAAAUGUAUACAUAUUAGCCAUGUUUUAUUU